UACGUAGGCGGAAAAUUAAGUCAGUAGUGAAAUCCUGCAGCUUAACUGUAGAACUGUUAUUGAUACUGGUUCUCUUGAAUAUAGUUGAAGUAGGCGGAAUGUGUAAUGUAGCGGUGAAAUGCUUAGAUAUUACACAGAACACCGAUUGCGAAGGCAGCUUACUAAGCUAUGAUUGACGCUGAGGUACGAAAGCGUGGGGAGCGAACAGGAUUAGAUACCCUGGUAGUCC
rnacentral:rRNA from 1 species